ACGUGUACCCUUUCAUCCCCCCUCCGCGCUUUCAUUCGGCCCUCGCAGGCCUCCUCGGGUUACCUUCCCUUGAUUUGGAUCCAUCUCUUCUCCCGUCGCCGCCGAACCCUAGCUAGCUAGUACUCCUACCUCGGACCAGACCGGCCGCGAGAGGCCACCGGCGGCAUGGCUGCGUGCGGCGGCGGAGCAUAGCACGCGAUGCGAGCGCUCCAAUCGAAUCCCGCCGCACCGUCCGUCCCGCUCGCCGUGGCCGAUGACCGCGUCCCUCCCCAAACGGCGGCGAUGAUGGAGGGAGCCGCCGGAUCCGGCCAGGCUCCCGAGCGGCCGACGCGCCGGGUCGCCGAUCCUCGGGGCCAGCCCCUCCCGCCGCGCCGUCACGCAUCGGCUUGGGGACCCCCCUCGGGGAUGCCGCCUGCGCGGGAGGCGUCCGCGGCGGCGCGGGCUGGGGAGCCAGCGGCGGGGCCCGUGGUGCGCUCCGGUCGGGCCGGCGCGGGAUCUGAGCCGCCGUCGAUGGAUUGCUUUGGAUUCGGCGAGCUCUCGUUGCCGGAUCGCUGACCCAUCGUCCCGGUGUCCAUUGCGUCAGUUCCACACCGCUACGGAGCCGCCAGCCACCGCCGUUCCAUUGCCUUGGAUUCGGUUGUGGCGCGGGCAGGAAACCGUAGAGUGAUUGUCUGCUGUUUCGUCCGUGCGGGAGGUUUGGUCGGUCGAGGCCAGGUAUGAGCAGCUCCUGAGCAGGAUGGAUGGAUGCAUUCAUGUGUCGUGAACUAAAACCACGACUCCUAUUUUGGAACGGAGGGAGUACAUUUUGGAACGGAGGGAGUAUGCAUGUAUGGAUAUCAUGGUCAUGUUGCUUGGUGUGUAGAGCCCUGACGGGGGCUGAACCUCCUUUUUGGGGAGGGGCAAUGAUGAUGGUGAUAACGAUGAUGGCUGAAAUAAUCAUGUCUUGAGCAAUCAAGGCAGCCGUGGCGUGGUGGUACUAAACAGAGCCGAAAAAAUCGGUGUCUGCGUUGGAGUUGGCCUUAGAGCCCACCCUUGCCUCUCUUGCAGCCUGUCCAAUUCAUCGCUGACGUUGGAUGAUUUGUGCCUUGGAUGGUCUUUCUGUUGAGUGAUAACCAUGGCAGUUCUCUUACAUCGUGAUGGGUAGAUUAAGCAGCAAGAGAUGGUGAGGGUUGGGCUUGAAGAUGAAAGACAAAACUGAGCCUCUUUUGCUAUGCUACAUAUACCCCCCACCCCUCUACCUCUAACCCUAAACCAAAUCAGUCAAGCUCUCAUUGCCAACUCGCUGGCCAAUCGUCUGGGUGGUGCCCGCUUCAGUUCACUGCUGCGGUGCUGCCAGCCUCUGCUGUUCCAUUGCCUUGGAUUUGGCUGUGGCGUGGGCUGGGAACCGUACGGUGUUAUCUGGGGCGUCAUCAGGUCUGGUUGGUCGGUCCAGGCCAGGCAUGAGUAGCUCCUGAGGCUGAUGAGGAUGGAUGGACAUGUGCACGCAUGUAAAUUCACUCAUUUUGCUCCGUAUGUAGUCCACAUUGGAAUCUCUAGAAGGGCUUAUAUUUAGAAACGGAGGGAGUAUGAUCUAAACACUCUUAUAUUUCUUUACAGAGGGAGUAUGUAUGUAUGUAUGUAUGUAUGUAUGUAUUUAUGGAUAUCAGGGUCAUCUUGCUUGGUGGGCAAAGGCGAUGAUGAUGACUGUGGCCGAAAUAAGCAUGUCUUGAGCAAUCAAGAUAGCGGUGUCCUGUGGGUACUAAAGUAGAGCCGACCCUUACCUCCUUUGUGGCCUGUUCAAUUCAUCGGUAAUGUUGGAUGUUCUGCACCUCGGACGGUCAUUCUGAUGAGUGAUAACCAGGGCAGUUCUCUUACAUUGCGAUAGGUAGAUUAUGCAGCAAGAGAUGUGAGUGUUGGGUUUGAAGAUGAAAUGCAAAACUGAGCCCUCUUUUGCUUAUGAUCAUGAUCCUUGUAUCCCCCCCUCUCCUCUCUCUCUCCCUCUCUCUCUUUCUCAGACUCCCACACACUCGCUCACUCUGUGUCUGCGUGCGAGCAUUGUUCACACCGGUAAGUCCUAAACCGAAUCAGGCGAGCUCUCGUUGCCGGAUCGCUGACCUGUCGUUCCGGUGGCCGCUGCCUCAGUUCCACACUGCUACGGAGCCGCCAGCCACCGCCUUUCCAUUGCCUUGGAUUCGGUUGUGGCGUGGGCUGGCACCGUGCUCUGUUGUCUGAUGCGUCGUUCGAGCCGGGAGAUUUGGUCGGUCGAGGCCAGGUAAUGAGCAGCUCCUGAGCAGGAUGGAUGGAUGGAUGCAUUCAUGUGUCGUGAACUAAAACCACGACUCCUAUUUUGGAACGGAGGGAGUACAUUUUGGAACGGAGGGAGUAUGUAUGUAUGGAUAUCAUGGUCAUGUUGCUUGGUGUGCAGACCCCGGACUGGGGUUGAACCCCCUUUUUGGGGGAAAAAUUGGGGCAAUGAUGAUGAUGGUGGUGAUGACGACGAUGGCUGAAAUAAUCAUGUUUUGAGCAAUCAAGACAGUCGUGGCGUGGUGGUACUAAACAGAGCCGAAAAAUCGGUGUCUGCGUUGGAGUUGGCCUUAGAGCCCACCCUUGCCUCUCUUGCAGCCUGUCCAAUUCAUCGCUGAUGUUGGAUGCUUUGUGCCUCGGACGGUCAUUCUGUGAGUGAUAACCAUGGCAGUUCUCAUACAUCGUGAUGGGUACAUUAUGCAGCAAGAGAUGUGAGGGUUGGGCUUGAAGAUGGAAGACAAAACUGAGCCUCUUUUGCUAUGCUACGUAUACCCCCACCCCUCUACCUCUAACCCUAAGCCAAAUCAGUCGAGCUCUCAUUGCCAACUCGCUGGCCAAUCGUCUGGGUGGUGCCCGCAUCAGUUCACUGCUGCGGUGCUGCCAGCCUCUGCCGUUCCAUUGCCUUGGAUUUGGCUGUGGCGUGGGCUGGGAACCGUACGGUGUUAUCUGGGGCGUCAUCAGGUCUGGUUGGUCGGUCCAGGCCAGGCAUGAGUAGCUCCUGAGGCUGAUGGGGAUGGAUGGAUGGACAUGUGCACGCAUGUAAAUUCACUCAUUUUGCUCCGUAUGUAGUCCAUAUUGGAAUCUCUAAAAGGGCUUAUAUUUAGAAACGGAGGGAGUAUGAUCUAAACACUCUUAUAUUUCUUUACAGAGGGAGUAUGUAUGUAUGUAUGUAUGGAUAUCAGGGUCAUCUUGCUUGGUGGGCAAAGGCCGGGGAUACAGCCUCCUUUUCGGUAAAAAAUGAGGGGUGAUGAUGAUGACUGUGGCUGAAAUAAGCAUGUCUUGAGCAAUCAAGACAGCUGUGGCUUGUGGGUACUAAAUUAGAGCCCACCCUUACCUCCCUUGCAGCCUGUUCAAUUCAUCGGUAAUGUUGGAUGUUCUGCUCCUCGGAUGGUCAUUCUGAUAAGUGAUAACCAGGGCAGUUCUCUUACAUUGUGAUGGGUAGAUUAUGCAGCAAGAGAUGUGAGUGUUGGGUUUGAAGAUGAAAUGCAAAACUGAGCCCUCUUUUUCUUACGAUCCUUGUAUCCCCCCUCCCCCCCCAAAAAAAAUCAAAUCAGUCAAGCUCUCAUUGCCGACUCGCUGACCCAUUGUCCGGGUGGCUGCCACGUCAGAUCCCGGUCUCUACGGUGCUGCCAGCUGCCGCCAGUCCAUUGCCUUGGAUUUGGUUGUGGCAUGGCUGGGAACCGUAAGGCGUUGUCUGAUGCGUCGCCCACACUGUGAGGUUUGGUCGGUCGAGGCCAGGUAUGAGCAGCUCCUGAGACUGUCUAAGUUACUCACCACUAUGACUAGCCUAAUGGAUGGAUGUUAUGGUCAUGUUGCUUGGGGAUUUGACCUUUUUCCUUAAAAAAAAAGAGGGGCGAUGAUGAUGCCUGUGGCUGAAAUAAUUAUGUUUGAGCAAUCAAGACAGCCGUAAUAGGGCCCAAAUGGGUGCCGGCGUUGGAGAUGCCCUUAAGAGCUCACCCUUACUUCUCUUGCAGCCUGUUCAAUUCAUGGCUAAUGUUGGAUGUUCUGCGCCUUGGAUGGUCAUUCUGAUGUGUGAUAACCAGGGCAGUUCAAUUACAUCGCUAUGGGUAGGUUAUGCAGCAAGAGACGUGAGUGUUGGGCUUCAAGAUGAAAGGCAAAACUGAGCCCUC